rnacentral:rRNA from 1 species
GACGAACGCUGGCGGCGUGCUUAACACAUGCAAGUCGAACGGAAAGGCCCUGCUUUUGUGGGGUGCUCGAGUGGCGAACGGGUGAGUAACACGUGAGUAACCUGCCCUUGACUUUGGGAUAACUUCAGGAAACUGGGGCUAAUACCGGAUAGGAGCUCCUGCUGCAUGGUGGGGGUUGGAAAGUUUCGGCGGUUGGGGAUGGACUCGCGGCUUAUCAGCUUGUUGGUGGGGUAGUGGCUUACCAAGGCUUUGACGGGUAGCCGGCCUGAGAGGGUGACCGGCCACAUUGGGACUGCGAUACGGCCCAGACUCCUACGGGAGGCAGCAGUAGGGAAUAUUGCACAAUGGGCGGAAGCCUGAUGCAGCAACGCCGCGUGCGGGAUGACGGCCUUCGGGUUGUAAACCGCUUUCGCCUGUGACGAAGCGUGAGUGACGGUAAUGGGUAAAGAAGCACCGGCUAACCACGUG